AAAGAAAUAAAAUGAAGGACCAGCUUCCAUUUUUUAAAAAAGAGCAUGUUAUGAAAAACUAAUAGGCAUAAAUAAAAUAACUUAUGUAAAUAUGAAAAAUAAGCUAUUUGAGGGGUGCGUGGGUGCCUCAGCUUGUUGGACUUCUGACUCUUGAUUUCAGCUCAGGUCAUGAUCUCAUGGUUCAUGGCAUCGAGCCCCACAUUGGGUUCUGAGCUGACAGUGCAGAGCCUGCUUGGGAUUUUCUGUCUCCUUCUCUCUGCCCCUCCCCCUCUCUCCAACUCUCCCUCAAAAUAAAUAAACAUUAAAAAAAAGAAAAGAAAAAAGAGGCUAUUUGAAAUAUUUGAACUAAAAAUGUUAGUAAUUUGAAUUAAAAAUUCAGUUGAUAGGAUAAGCUCUAGCCUGAACACAAAUACAUAGAGAAUUAAAGAAUUGCAAAAUCAUACUGAGGGAUUUACCUGUACACAGCCAAAGAUAGAAAAGAUAUGAAAAAAGACAAGGACCAUAGUUUGAAUAGCUACAACACAUGGCAAAUAGGAGUUCUCAAGAAGGAAAGCAAUCCUUGGAGAUGUAAAUAGCAGAGGCUUUUCCGUGACUGAAAAAAGAGAAGAGUCCUCACACGAAAGGAGCUGAGUGCUAAGAUGAAUAAAGAAAACUCAUGCUUACCAUGCUUACCAGACACAUUGAAUUAAGAAUGCAGAGUGCUAACAUUAAAGAGAAGAGGUUUGGGGAGCCUGGGUGGCUCAGUUGGUUAAGCAUCCAACUUCAGCUCAGGUCAUGAUGUCAUGGUUUAUGAGUUUGAGCCCUGCAUUGGGCUCUGUGCUGACAGCUCAGAACCUGGAGUGUGCUUUGGAUUCUGUGUCUUCUUCUCUCUCUCUGCCCCUUCCCUACUCACACUCUCUCUAUCUCUCAAAAAUAAAUAAACAUUAAUAAAAAAAAAAAGAAAUCAGAAAUUUCUGGAGAGGAAAUAUAUUCUCUAUAAAGGAGUAACAACUGCAUUAACAGUAGAUUUUUUACCAAUAACAACACAAAAACUCCACUGAAAGAAAUAUUAAAGGAUGUUAUUCACUAAGAAGAAAAGUGAACCCAAGGCAUGGAAUAUAAGAAAUAAUAAUAAGACAGAAAUUGAUAACAUUUAUCAGUGAGUUUAAUUAAUUAUUGACCAUGAGGGCAUGCAUAUUAACCAUAACCAUACUUUUGGAUUUUAAAAAGGGUAUAAUUCAAGCUCAAUACAGCAAUAGUAAGAUAGGGGGAAAGGAAUACCAUGUUUAAUCUCUAUUAGGCCUAUGCCAUAGUAAAAAGAAAAAAAAAGGAUAGAAAUAAUGAAUAACUUUAGCUUUUGUUUAAAAAGUUUAUGGUUAGGGUAGCCUGUGUGGUUCAGUUGGUUGAGCAUCUGACUCUUGAUUUUGGCUCAGGUCAUGAUCCCAGGGUUGUGGGAUCGAGCCCUAUGUUGGGCUCUGUGCUGAGCAUGGAGCCUGCUUGGGAUUCUCUCUCUCUCUCCCUCUGCCCCUCGCCCCUGUGUGCAUGUGCUCUCUUUCUAAGAAUACAAAAAAUAAAAAAGAAUAAGUUUAUGGUUAUAAAUAUGUAUUUUUUAAAAAUUAAAGGGAACCACUAUAAUCAAUAAAUAAAUUUGUAUCUAAACAUUCUAAGUAUAUGAAAACUAUUAAUACAGUAGAAGGCAGAAAAGGAGAAGUUUACAAAACAAAAAAAAAUUAUGGCAAGGUGAAAACCCAAAAUAAGAAGGCAGUUCAAACAUACCACAAAAAAUAUAAAGGGAUCACAUUUAUCUAGUAAAAAUGGUUAUCAGAGUGGAUUUUUUAAAAAUCCAGCUGUAUUCCUCUUUUAAGAGACAUAAGUAAAACAAAACCAAAAGAGAAAUUUUGAAUAAAAAAGAGGUACCAUGUAAUAAUAAUAAAAAGAAACCCAGUACAGUAAUAUUUUAUUGGACAAAAUAGACUUUAAGGUAAAGGCUCUAUAUAAUAUCAGAUGAAAUAAUCCACCAAGAUGUAGCAUUCAUGAUCUAUCCGCAUCUAACAGCAUUAACUCUGAAAAAUACAAAGCCAAGGCUGAAAGAAAUAAAAGGAGGCAUCAACAAAUCUAUAAUCAUAGUGUAGAUUACUGAGAUCAAGGAAAAUGAAAACUUAGCAAGAAUUUAAGAGGUUUGAACAACAAAUCUACUAGAUAUAUUGGAAAAAGUCCUUAUAUUCAACAUUAGACCUAAAUACAUAUUUACAUAAUCUUAUCUCCAAUUCAAGUCACAAAGGAUAGCUCAACAAAUGUACAAGGAUAUUAUAGAGACCAUAUUCUCUGACUAUAAUGCAAUUAAAUUUGAAAUCAGCAAUGAAAAGUAAUAAAAACAAUAAUGACACAUGUCUAUAAACUAGCAAAGCAACCUACUAAAUAACUCAUGAGUUAAAAAGGAAUUCACAAUGGAAAUGAUAAAAUAUUUAGAAGUAAAUGACAAUGAAAGUACCUCACCUGUGGAAGCUGGUCCAAAAAAAAAAAAAAUGCUGUUAAUGGUAUUUUGGGGACAACUGGCAAAAUUUGAAUAAGGUCUAUAUAUUAGAUAAUAGCAUUAUAUUAAAUUUUCUGAUUUUGAUAAUUAUACUGUGGUGUGAGUGUCUUUGUUCUUAAGAAAUAUUCACUGGGGCACCUGGGUGGCUCAGUUGGUAAAGCGUCUGACUUCAGCUCUGGUCAUGAUCUCAUGGUUCGUGGGUUUGAGCCCUGAAUCGGGCUCUGUGCUGACAGCUCGGAGCCUGGAACCUGCUUUGGAUUCAGUGUCUCCCUCUCUCUUUGCCCCUCCCCAGCUCUCACUCUGUCUCUCUCUGUCUCAAGAAUAAAUAAAACAUCAAAAAAAAUGUUUAAAGAAAUAUUCAUUAAAAUAUUUAGGGAUAAAGGCAUAUGAAACAUUCUCAAAUUGAUCAGAUGAUGAUGAUGAUGGUGAUACCUAGAGAGAAAUAACAAAAAUGGUAUACGGGAGUGAAGGGCAAACAAUAUUCUUUUACACUAUUUUUAAUAAUUUUUUGUGUAAGUUGGAAGCUUGAACUUCAAAAUAAAAAGUUUAAAAAAGAAAAAAAAAACUAAUGCAGUCAGAGUUAAAGUUAAAUAGUUAGUAGUUAAACUACUUAAAACUCCAAAUAGUUCUGUUUUUUAAGAAGGAUAGUGAUUUGCCAGAAUGAAUUUCCCUUCUGAAGAUUCUCAGUUUCACUGAUUGGAUAAAACAAAAACCUGUUAUGUGAGAAAACAGCAUGUUCUGCAAAUGAGCAAAGUAGCCCACAAUGUCUGUUGUGUAUGGAACAGCAUCUCAGGGUUGUUGGCACCAUUUGUUAGGAAUUGCCUUGGGGAUAAACACAGACUAGUGACUGAACAGUGAUGUCACACAAUUGUUUUAAAUAAAUGAACCAAAAACGCCAUUUGUGCCACAUUCCAACUAGGUCAUAAAACUUUAUUUAAGAAGUUUUGACCCCAGGAUUUCUCGAAGCUAUUCACAAUACUUUGUUUUGACUCCUCUCUCCAUGGGUCAUGAUUCAAAACAGUGCAACCCAAUCUCCUUUAAAAUGUUGCCUGUGAAAUCUGGCUCUUAACUUCAGAAGAGCGCUAAAGUGUCAACACGUGGCUGAGAGAUUGCUUCCAGACGCUCAACACUGUGUAGAAAGAUCCAAUGGUGGAGGAUAAAAGCAGGAAUAUGGUACAAUGCUGUGCGAUCACCAAGGAGUAAACGUGAGUGUGGAGGAAGGAGGAGAGAGAAGUGAGAACAGAGAAAAGAUGGAUGAGCAACAUGUGGUUUUGAGACGAGCUCUAAGGAUAGGUUUGGGAAAAUCUACCAGCCCCUACACGUCCACAAGGUCACUCAGUUGCCAGGUAAACCUUUUCGGUGAAUAAGGAGAAAGUCCUAGACUGAGGGCUUUGGGAAGGUUGCAUGGUGGAGAAUCAUUGCUAGAGAUGAUAGAGAAGAAUAUAGAUGCCAGAUGUGUGAUGACACUGUUUUCUCAGUCAGUAGAUUACGGUGGGCUUGAUGGGCCAGGCCAUGCGGAUUGUUUGGGGACCUUACGCAUUUUUGCAGCAGACUUACUUUGUAGUCCUCCUUUGGGACACCUCUCUCCUUGCCCCAUCAGACCCACAGUCUUGGGCCUGCAUUAUUUCGCAAAGUCAUAGCAACUCUUGGGUCAAUGGUGCUCACAGCAUAAUGGCAGCCAGGAGGAGACUAGGAAAUUAUGCCACUUCUACAAGACAGCGCAGUUUAGGUUUUCAAUGAAUUCUUUACCUCUUUAUUUUAUGUCAAAGUCUAUCUAUUUUAAUUAAAAUUACUCCAGAAAAUAGAGCGUGGAACCAACGCUAGCAGUGCACAUUUUACUUCUAGCAAGUAUAGAGGGUCAGGAACUACCUGAAGUUUGCAAGCUGUGCCUAAGUAUCAUCAUCUCAUGGGAGAUGGCUAUGCUUCUGAGGGCUCCAGCCCUGGUCUCUAUUUCACCUGACCAAAUUCCUGUCACAGCUGUUUCCCACAGAAAACCUUUCUAGCCUGGAUGGGUCAAGCGGAGAAUUCCUAAUCUACCAGGUAAGUGUGAAUACCUUUUUUCUAAACUUUCCUUCCUGACAGCUAUUAGCUGUGAAGGGAAAGAGAAGAAAAAAUCUGACUAUCUGAAAAUAAAUAUUUCAUAGGAGCAAUCAGUGAAGGUUCUCGUGGAAUUUGGGGGCCAUAGAAAAUAGCGCUGGAAGACAGCAAUGUUCAAACUCUCCCUAUUACCCCACAUUUUAUAAAGAUGCCUCAAGUGCCAAAUCAUCACUGACAUCAUCACCACCACCAUCAUCAUCAUCAUCAUCUUCAUUAAGUCCAUCUCUACUCCUCCUGCCCAUAAAGGGUUUCAAUGGAUGCUAUUUGAAAACCUCCAACUUAAGAAAAUGAGGCCCAGAGAAAUUGAGAGCCAUACUCCACGCAUGCCAGCGGUGACAGUAUUGGCACACAGCCCCUUUGCCCACAGAAACAUUUACUCAUUGUCUGGAAGUUACUGCAUCAUAAAAAAAAAAAAAAAAAAAUAGAUGGCAGAAACUCCAGUAAUUUCCAGUGUAAGAAAGACACUGUCGGAGUCAGAACACACAAAAAUGUGUCUUCAAGCCCUCCAAAUAUGGGCAGCCAGGCUAAAACUCUUUGCAGCAUUUAUAUUAUUAACAAGCAGCAGACUAUGUCUCCAGGAAUUUGUAUGACAUCUCCUCCACCCCAACAUGAGGUCCAGGCUAUGGAGUCAGUGUAAGAAAGCAAACAAAACAGAGAUGCAGGGUAUGUGUAUUCUUAGGAACUCUUGGAUGCGUCCCACAAUAGUGCUAGCCUUCUCCACUCUGCCCAGGACUUAAAUUAGGCGUGCCAUCACAUCAUUUGGCAAGGAUUUUGUUCCUGUUUUUUUUUUCCCAGGGAGAAUAGGGAGAAAGGAUAGGAAACACAACUUCACAUAAUAGCAUGGCUAUAUUUAUGUACUAUUUUAAAACUUUGCACAGUUCACCCACAUACUGCAAAUUAAGUAAGUUUCACAGUAAUUCUAUGAGAGCAAAAGAGCUGCAUUUUCCUUAUUCCACAAACAAGGAAAAGAAGGAGAGGGCAGUCAUAUGGUUCGCCCAAGGCCACUCCAUCGGUUGGUGACAGAUGGGAUGGGAUGAUCAGUCAGUGACUGAAGGAGGAACACUCCAUUUUAUUUUCCAGCAGACUCUAGACUGGAUUCGGGCUCUGUCCUUCAGUGAACAGGUUGUAGGCUCAAACAGAGGGACCGUUCUAAUUUGAGGAAACGGAACAGAGAAGAAAUUUCAAUGGCGCAUGGAUCAGAAGGGGGAAAAAAAAACAACCAUAGACAGAUGACAUGUAUCACAGGAUUCCCUCUGACCUGUGUGUUCUUCAAAAUUGUUUUUUAGAUCACUUAUAUCCAAAUAUAGACUUACCUUUGGUGAAUAAGUAAGUUGUGGCACCACAGACUUGCGUACCCUUUGCUGGUCAAAACUACCCUUCCCCACAAAGAGUUUUAAAUCAGUUUAACUGACCCCUGAAAUAAGGCUGAAAAAACUUUUUAAAUGAAGAGUGAACUUUGAAAGCAAAGAUCUCUGGUAAUGCCAAAGCAAGUCCCAGGAGUGAGAGGGCUAAUUUGGCAGCUGUCAGGACGGAUCAGUUCAUGGAGUGAGAAAUGGGUUGAAGGGAGGAGGCUCUGUCUACAAGGACAAAGCUGGGCAUGUAGGUCCAAUUUUUCAAGCUGCUUCUCUUCCUGAGGGAGCCACCCAUAAACCCCCACAUGCCUUGCCACCUCAUCUGAUAGAAGUAGAAUGCUACCUCUGGCACAGAGUCAUUUCUAAUUUCAAUGGCAUUACUGGGGCCUGAAACAUCCAUGGUCAGAAGUCCUGAAAUAACAUAGGUUUUUCAGCGGCUUGUCUGAGCACUCCUGGAAUUCCUUUAAAAUGCAGCAGGAUGAGUAACUCUGGGCUCAUUUCUGCAGAGAGGGCUGGGGAAAGGCCCAGAUGCACAAUGCCAACAGUGCAAAAUUUGUAAAGCAAAUCUAGUUAACAAGCUGUUACUUUUCAGACCAAAACCUGUUGAGAAUUAAGACGUCUUUCCGGAAACCCAGGGAUUAUUAUUCAUUUGCCUGUUUCACCUGUGCCAGUAGCUUCAGGAAAUAGCAAGGUGGGACAGCCCACAAGAAAGCUAGCAUCAACCACAAAGGAUGUUCGCGGCUCAGGCAGAACCAAACCUGGUUAAAAAGGCUUUUCAACUCAGGAAUAGCUUCCCACUCCAAGAGAGUUUCUGAUCAUCCCAGAAGGUGAUCUUGGGAACUUCAGCACCUUUGAAUAAAUAUGAAUACCAAAGAACAAAUCCAAAUAUUCUUGGGAAGACAAGUUAUUUCUUUUUCUUUCUCAGGGGCCAGUGUUAAAAGCCCCUGACAACAUUCCUGGGGAGCACAUGUGCCUCUUGUUCAGGGAACUGGAGCAUUGGACCAGGGGACAGGGAACCAUUGGAUCAGGGAACAUUGACCUUGGGCUAAUCAUUUAAUUUGGGAUUGGUAAUUCAUAGUCAAAGCCAUGAUUACUGUGAUCUAACAGAAGUAAGCCUGCCCAGGCAUGGGGACCCAAGGGUUAUAAUUUUAAGGAUUUAUUCUUUGGGAGUGGAGGCAAAAUGAUGAUGGAAAUAGAGCAGCCCAGAUUUGAAUGCCUUAUCCGUGAGUUUUAUUAGGGCUCCUACGCCUUUCAACAAGCCUUGAGGGCUUUCUAGUGGGUCUGGGGAGGGGAGGCAUAACCCUUGUUAGCUCACAGGUAUAGAGGCAGGACUUGGGUGGUUCAUCAGCCCACACAAGGGAUACUUGGAAGACAUCGAGAAACGAUAUUUUUGCUCACCGUUGUCUCACCAGAGCAAUCUUCUGGAAAACUUAAAUUUAAUGUUCUUAUCCCCUAUUCAAAAUGGCUUUCCAUUAUUCUAAAAUAAAAGCCAAACUCCUCAGUACUGAUUACACAUCCCCGUGUGAUCCAGUCCCUCCCUACCUCUCCAGACCCUUGCUUUCCUCCUUCCCUUUAAUCCAGCCUCAAGGACUAGAUUUCGUUUCCUCCAAUAACCAAGCUCUUUCUAUCUAGAGCACUCACUUACCCUUCUUUACGUUUUAAUAUCUACUUUUCUUUCAGUGUGCAGCUCAAAUAUCACUUCUUCUGAGAAGCCCUCCUUGAAUCUUCCUGUAUUAGAUCAGAUAAAACCUCUCAUACUGCUCUUGUAGAACAUCCUAUUCCUUUCUUUUAGGACCUUUAUCACAGUUGAUAAUUACAUACUUACUUGUUUACUUAGUGGAUUAAUUCCAGACUUUCCCACUAGAUGAUAAGCAGUAUCUACUUGCCAUUGUAUCUCUAAUGCCUACCAAACUGGCACAGAGCAGACACAAGAUCCAAUGAUCUCACUAGGAUGAAGGUGAUGUGAAUGGAAGAUGGCAACCUUACUCUAGAAAUCCAGAACACUGCUAUGAUCCACACCUGCAGGCCUUACUGGGCAAUGGAGCACCUAUGAAUAAAACAAAUUCAUUCUUUUCUGUUGUUUUGGCUGUUGGCAACACUGGGGGAAUUUGAGAAGAGCUGAAAUCCCAAACUUCCUUGUUGACUUUCUUUAGACAUAAACCCAGCUGGAACACAUUCUACCACCUGCCCUGUCUCUGGGGGAGCACACAGGGCAAAGUGAGGGAGUCUGUGUGGAGGCACUCUAGCCUGACUGUGGGAUCCAAUAUAGCACAUACUUUAAAAUAUGCUGACAUGGAGUUAUAGCUCUUCAAAGCACUGGAGGCAAAACCCCUUGUUUUUAAAACAAAGCAUUCAUACAGAGCCAAGAAUGUCCCUGAGUCAACAGUCCUAACCCUUUCUCAGUCUGCUUAUGAGGCCCUGGGUCUCAGAUGGAUGAACCAAGGACCUGCCACUUAGAGACUACUGUCUGCUAACCCCAAGUGACAUUGGUCGAGCCUAGACUGUGUAUAGUAGGAGCCUGGGAGAUAACAGGAGAUGAAGAACAUAGAAGGCUGCUGAUGUAGCUGUGUAGACAGCUAAGAACAGAACAAUUAGAGAAUAAUUCCAAGGUUACACAAAAGUAAAAGUGUGAUGGGAUGGUACAGACCCUCCUCCUGAGCGAACUUCCUUUGCUUUAAGGAUGAGAUUCCUAUGAAUGAGGUCAUUCAGGAAGUCUUCUUGGAGGAGGUCAGUUUGAGCUUUAAGGGAAAAAAAUGGAUUGGCAAAGAGAGCAGAACUGGACCUACAGUAACCAUGCUGCCUGGGGCUGAGAGUCUGUGUGAGCGCUGUCAUCACAUGGGAUGCCUCUCCUCAACCAUUUGGAGAAAAAGUAAAUCCCUUUGUAACAUCUAGGCGAUGCGGGUGAAGAUUUGUCCUGCUUUUCAAGUUAGGAUAUUAUGUAGUCCCAGUGGCUCUCUGAUUCUCUCAUGAAUCCAGGAUUCCAGGUAACACUCACUUUGUUUCACCAGCUGAAUCAGGCCCCCACUCCCAGAAGAACUGAAAACUAUCUUAUAACUUGGACUGAGCACUUUUGCUUCCUGUUUGUUAUCUUUCCUGUUGUCUGAAUCAUUCUCCAAGGAAACACUGAAGUCCUCCUGAAUUUUAAUCAGCUGUGUCCACUUAGCUUCUGUUCACCUAGGCAAAGGGGCAAGAAUAAAGGCACAAGGCAUACCGCAACAGCAAUUACUUUCCACGAGGAGUCAGAGAUUGGAAGUGAAGCUAAAAGCAUCUCUUUUAAGGCAAGCCAUUUCCCCCAGGGAGUUUGCAGCUUGGAGCAAAGGCAGGACAAUAAAAGAUCAAGGAUGUCUUUCUAAGACUGCAAACAGAGCAGCUGACACAUUCAAGUUGGUCUGCUUUUGACCUCUUUAAAUGCCAGGACAGCAGCAAAGUGCCCACAUCACAUCUGUUAUAAGCUGGCCACCCAUCUUUUUUAUUUUAAACCACAAACUCCGAGUGUUUGUAGAGAACAGGCAGGGAAGGACAGCCUGGGAGAUCAGGCCCCUGUUUCAGCUGGUGUCACUCAAGCCUGUCUUCCCCAGAGUAGUUUUCUGUACUUCCGUCUUUCCCCUGUCUGUCCCACUCUGGAAGUCUGUCCCUCUCCCUGCUCUUACCUCUAAUGGUUUCGGCACCUUCAUUUUCAAAUGCUAAUGAAAAUCGUGCUAGGCUGUGCAAAUGAACAACUCCAGGGUAAUCUUUCUCCCAUUGUCUCUCCUGUAGUUGGUAGUUAGACCUUGGAACUGAUUCCAGCAGCACUGAGGUCACAGCUACUGCUAAAGCUAAAUCCCAGUUCGACUUUGUUUAGGAGGUGGUCCUUUGUCAUUUUCAUCUCCAGAUAGAACCUCUGGAAACCUCUGUUUUCCCAGAGGUAAAAUAAUAAAAAAAGAAGUAGCCCAAGGUGAGUGCACACAGGUGGAUGAGGUCUCUUGUUGAGGGCAGAAGGUGUCUGUGAGUGCUGGGUCCUCCUUGUGAGCACGGUCAUCGUGUCCUGCAAACAGAGCUUAGUGAAGUUACAUCCACCUGUUGUGGUUUUCCCAAGAGGGAGAAAGAAAUGACUGGGACUCUACUAACGACCAUUAGCAGCACACUUUGGGUUGGGUCUCUCAAACUUUAACAGGCAUACAGAUCCUCCUGACUUUAAAAUGGAGAUCUCCUUUCAGUCUGGUCUCAGACAGAGCCUGCAUUUCUACCAGGCACCUUGGUGAUGUUGAGGCCACUGAUCCCAUGCACAUUUUGAGUAGCGAGGGGUUGGGUUUUUGUUUACUGCCUUCCUACCCUCAGCUGGACUAUGUCAUUUUAUCAAAACAAUAUAGUAGGAGUGAUACCCAAUUAUUAGCCUCCUGAAUCAUCCAUUGUUAGAGCUAUUUCUUGCAGCUACAUUAAAAAAGCCCCUCCCGGUAGUUCCCCAUUGCACAAGAAGCCCAUUUGUAACGAGACACUUUAGGCAAGCAAGACACUAUGCAAAACAUUUUUGGCUCUUUCUGCUGCCUGACAGGUGGCUGCUGGUUGAUGUUGGAAUAGGAAGUUUUAUAUGAUAGCGUUGACGGUGCUGAUUCUGAAGGGGGUGAGGAGUACUUUGCUGUGGCAGCUUUAGCUCCCACUCAAUGCCCGCUCCCACCCCCCCAGGCUUAUGGGAAAGAUGAGGUGGAAGCUGGGAGAGAAGCAUCGGGCCAUGCUCUGCAGACUGGGGGAUAUUAUUUUUCACUUUCUCUGCUGCAGGGCUUCCCACGCCUUUUAUAAAUAUUUAUAGGACAAUUUCCUUCUUGAGAGUGCCCAAGAGUGGGGGAUGGUGAGGAGGAUGGUUGAACUGGGAAAGUAGGGAAAAGGUGGUGCUCACAUGUAUGAAGAUUAGAAGGUGGCAGAAAGCUCCAGAGGGCUCAUUCCAGGCCAGUCCCAUCACUUGCAGGAAGAGGAGUUGGACUAGACUAGAGAUAUUAAGUCUGGGGGCAGGGGUUUAAAUUAGCAACUCCAGUCCUUAGAUUUCAACUGAUUCUCAGAAGGUCCCUGAUUCACAAAAGGUUAAUCAGCACCAACCAGGAUCAUUUCCUAGCCCCUCCCAGAGUGGAUAUUUAGAGUGCUAGGCUUCAAGAAAUGGCAGACCUCAAGCUUAGGUCGUGGGAUUCGGAGGGCCAAGACAGCCACUUAGAAUCAUUUUCUAGCAGAGGCGAAAGGGGCUCAGCUGUCGGCAACCCCAUUUUACAGAGGGAAAGCUGAGGUAUAGUCAACUCAAGUGACUCUCCUAAACCACGGGGUCAGAAGAUAAGUCUGGCUUAGAAUCCAGGCCUGGCACAGGGAACACUGGUCUGCACUGGCCGAAAAGCCCCUUCAAUCAGGCUGUCGCCUGGGAAGGGCAAGACAUUUGUGGCCACAGCACCAGGAGCCCCGCUGGUUAUUUCUAGCUUGCUGAAUGUCAAAAAUCCAGGCCGCUUCUCACAGCAGCCUCCACUUGUCAGACCAAAUCAAGGCAUCCACGCGUCAAGCAGGCGAAUCAGCUGCCUCCAGCACUGGCCUCGCUGCGCCCGCCCAGCGCGGUGCACCUGACCUUGUCCGGAUGCAGCCGGCCAGCGAGCCCCGCCCCCGCGCCCAGGGCCACUGCUCCCACCUGCAGCCCCCGCGGUUUCUCCGUGUGGAGCCCGCUUGGCAGCCUGCCUUGGCCGACUGUGACCACAACAGACAGCCUCCCACGGCCUUUGACCCUAGAGAGGGAUUGGGUAGAACCCUCUGCCUGCUCUCUGUUCCGGUUUGGAAUUUCCCACCUUCACUUGCUUUUCUUCUCAACACACUUCUCACCCUGCAGCCCAGUUCCUUUUUAGGUCCAAAUCAGCAAGCUUGUUUGUGUCUGCAGAAUCCUGUUUCACAGCAAUUGCAAGGCAACACUAGUCCUGAGUGUCUGCUGUUAGUUUCUUGUCCCAACUUCUCUUCAUUGAAUAUUGGAGCAACUGCUGGCUAGGCUUUGGAUACAGCAGACUGACCUUGACCCUCAGGGAGCCCACAAUCUUCUGGGGGAAGAGAAGGUGAUGUUUUAAGCUGUGAUUUGAUGGUUGCUAUGGAGUUUGCUAGAGGAAAUGGGGGUUGGGGGCAAGGAUCAUUGCAGGCAGAGAGAACACGGCAAGGUGUAAGGCCUGAAAGAAGGCAGAGGGGCCACCCAGGUAAAGAGACGGGAGCAAUUAGCAUGUGAUGAGUUGGGAAAAAGCCAGAAAGGGACUUGUGAGCCAGAGAAAGGAAUGUAGACUUUAUCCUGACAAUUCAGGGCUUUGGAGGGGGGUUUACCAUUUGGUUUGGUUUUGGUUUUUUGUUUGUAUGGUUUGCCUUGGAGGGUUUUUAACAAAGAAGUGACCAAUCAGAUUUGAUUUAUAGGUGGGCCUGGAGGCCCUGUAAGUCCCAAUACAGGGUCAGUAGCAGCAUUUUCAAGGGUAGGGGCUAUGUUCUCCCACUUGGGGCUCAAAUUGGGGCUCCUACUUGGGGUGAUUUCUUCACCCCUUCCCUGAUGCUUUUUUCCUACACCCACCCCCACUGUGACUGGUUUGUUCUUUGGCGUCUUACUGGCCCUUCCUAAACUUUAGUCAAGAUACUAGGUUGACAGUAUUCCCAAUCUACCACCCUGUUUUCAAUCAUUUAUUUACUCAUCUCACUUAUAAGAAGUUGCUAUACGCCAGGUGUUUUGCCAAUCACUGGGGGGUGCGGAAGGGAAGACUCACAUGUUUCCUGAUCUCAAAGAGCUCAGAAUUUGUCCAGUAGUUCCUCCACUUGCCCAUGCACCAGAAUCCUCUGUAAAGUUCUGAAAAAUACAGCUGAUUGAAUAUCACUGGACUGACUAAAUUGGAAUCUUUGGAGGUAGGUUCCAUGGAGUCAUAUUAUUAAAACUCCCCUCCAGGUAAUUCUGCUGAGCAGUUAGAACUACCGAUCUUGGGAGGGAUUUCUCUGAUGGCUGUUUGUCUACAUGGUCGAUGGGGAGAACAAACCCAGAGUCUGGCUCCUAGUCAUAAGACAGUCAGAAAUCACUAGAAAGGAAGACAGGGGCAAGCUCAGUCCACUGACCUGUAAGCCUGGGACCUGCUGACAUGCCUGCAGAGAAGCAGGAGGGGUAGCAGUGGUGGGUAAAUGGAAGGGCGGGGUAGAAUGUAUUUGGAUGGUAGGGUGGCUGUGCCUGCCUAGAGUGGACAGCGCCUCUUCCUCAACCUAAAUUGUAUAAAUUGUCCAGUUAGAAAGCAGGAGACCAGCUUUCUGGCUUGUUGACACAAAGACUCCUUUUCAGCACCACCUUGAUUGUCAUGGUGAAGACCUAGGGAUGUUCACACUGGCCAGUUUCAAAUGGUGACUGUGAUGAGUAACUAGCAAAUCAGCAAGCAUGUUAUACACGACCCACAAAUCUCUACCAGUUAUGUCUGAGUACUGGGGCAAACUAAAGCAAAGGGAGUCUGUUAGCUCACUGUUCCCAGAAGUAGACCCCAUAAGUAUAACCAUCCUCCGGGGGAUUCCAGGAAGGUGCUAUCCUGUCCAAUCAUGUCUGGAAUCUCACAUCCCCAAGGAUGGGUCUUCAAGGGGUUUGAAGGAUUGGAUUUCCAGUUCCACUUUCUGUCUCUUGGCAAAGACUGUUCUGAGAAAUCUAUCUGUUAAGUAUUUAUCUGUUGAAAGCUUACUGUUGGCCAGGUACUGUGAAGCCUCAGUGAAUAUACGUACAAGCCACUGGGAAGAUAAGACACAAUUUUGUGUAAAAGUAAAUAAAUACAGGACUUAGAUAUUUCCAGACCAACCUAGAAGAACUGGCUUGUGGUUGACUGGGGUUCUGUAUUCUGACCACUUACUUGCCCAGUAUGUAUUUGAGUGCACUAUAUUCCGGGUCAUUUGCAGACAUGUAAGGCAUAGUCUUUGCCCUCAAGAAGCUCGAAUUCCAAUAGGGAACCCAGAAUGUAUCAGUAUGGAUAUGUAGCAAAUAGUGUAGGCUGGGACGAGAGAGUGAUUCAGUAUCUGCUUUAGCAUCAAUAGGGCUUGUCCUGAAAUAUCCAACUUUUUUUUUCCAUACCCUAGACGUCUUUUGGGAAGAGAGCUCUGAUCAUUUUGGGAUUCACCUUAUUGGAAUUAGUGGUCAGGGCAUUACAGCCUCUUCUAUCACCAUUAUCAAACUUUGUGGUCUAGCCCCCUUGCUGGAUUUCACUUCUCUCUUCAUUCCUGUACAUCACCUCCAUUUCAGGUAUACACCCAUCUCUUCUACCAGGAACUGAGUCACUUUGGGUGGGAAGGUGAUACAAAGAGAGAGAAGAAAAAUGAAUGAAUACCUGAUCAUCUCCAGAAAAGGGGUAAGGUGAGUGCCACUUAACAGUAGAGUCUCCUAUAUGCCAAUUGUGCAAACUGUUCAUGGGCGUUUGUUUGCUCUUCUUUUAAUCACUUCCCGGAAAUACUGGUGUUUUAAAAUGACAGAAAUCAGGACCAUCAAGCCUAGAGAAGUGGGUGAAAAGUGAUUUCCACCUGGACAAAGUCACUGCGUCCCUGUGCAGAGGCAGGCGCCCUGACCCCAGCCUGAAAGCUGAAGUUGGCUCAAAGGAGGCAGGUAGGAGGAGGCCACUUCGUGUCUCACUGAGAGGAGGCAAGCUGUCUGGCUCCUGCUUAAAAACCUAUGUGCGAUUUUGUGAUUUUUUAGUCCCGACCACAGGUAAUUACAGAGGCUUUGCCUGGGGGGGGGGGGGGGGGUGCGGAGAAGCUGCCCUCGCCACAGCAACCUUGGUGCACGGCCUCUAUCGCAUCUGGAGGGAGGUGCAGUCAAGCACUCAGGCCCCCCUCGCUGGUCACGCUCUUGGCUUCUUUGCAUUCCUAGCUGGGAGACACCUUUGUUCCCGUCUCCCUGUCUGAGGCUUGAGCAGUGGUCCUCUUCAGGUGCCCAUCUCUGCUGAAUCCUCCUUAGUGGAGGGAGGGAUGGACGUGGGGGAGGAAACCCUGAAGACACUCUCUUCACUGCCUCAGUACCCAGUACUUUUCCACUCGGAGCCCUUCCCCCAGCCUUCUCCUCCAACCUCAGGGUCCAUAAAGCUGCCUUUUCCUCAGGGCCUUCCUCAUGAGCGAGACAAGCCUCACAUCUACACUGAUGCAGCUGCCCCUGACUGGUAUGCAGUUCCAUGGCAGAAAAAGGGGACGGGCACCUUCUCUGCUUUUAGACUCUUGCUUGUACUGUCACAGUGAGUGAUUAAAGGCUUGUUGCUUUAAUUGGCUACUCUGACUCCUGACAGCGAAGCCCUCUCUCCCUCUCUCUGAGCUGAGCUCCUGACAGGAGGGACUCCUCAAGCCCCCUACCCAGUGGGGAGCACACGCUUCAAGCAUGGCCCCAUUUCUGGUGGAGGCCAUGUUCCUAUUUCAGUUCUGCACUCCGUUUCUCUGUCUCUCUCACUCAUACACAACAGUACCUGAGGACAAAAAGGAACCCAGAGUUGCCACGGGGGGCUGGAAGGGAAUCAGUAGGAAAGACAGGAAUAAUGAAGCAGGCCCUGGCCAGAUCCAGACUCAGAGACCAAUUUCUUUCCAUCUAUGCUGCAGAGGAGGAAUCAGAGUUGGCAAGGUGAGUGACUUCGCUCUGGCCACCCAACUAAAGCCCAGGUCCUGAUGAUUUCCAGGCUGCCUCCUUGCUCUUGCAACCUCCUGCUACAGGUUCCGGGCAGGGCUGCGUCUCUGGGUGCCCAGGACUGUGCCCUGCCCUCUGUAGUCUGUCCUCUGAGGAGCCUCAGCCUCAAUGGGGAAAGGGAGACUAGAGCAGGGCUCUAAACUUUGAGCAAACUCACCAUCAGUCACCUGGAGGGCUGGGUAAAACACAGACCGCCAGCCCCACUCCCCGAGCGUCUGAUUCAGUAGGUGUGGGGUAGGGUCUGAGAAUUUGCGUUUCUAACAAGUGUCCAGGUGUGGCUGAUGAGAACCGCUGAGCUAGACUACGAACAGCCAAAAAGCAACAGAGAAAGAAAGAAUGGAAACUAAGCAAAGGAAGGAAGAAGGGAAGGGGUAGGGGUGACAUCGUAUCAGGGCAAGAAAUCAACCAGAAGGGCUGGGCCCUGGGAGGUUUUCCUCUUCCUCAACCACCCUGAUCUCAGGCUUACCCAGAAGUUUUCACAGUUUCCUUUAAACCCCUCCCCCACCCUCUGCGCUCUGGCCCACAGGUGAGGGCAAAAGCCCCACUUAAAUGAGAAGCCUUAGAGCCUGCGCUUAAAAAGCCCUGAGGUGGCUUCUCUUCCAACACCGUUCAUCCUCGCUUCCUUGUUGCGAUGCUGCAGGCUGCUCAACUGCCAGCUACCCAUGAGCCUCAGUUCCUGAGGAUAGAGUCCUGGAGGGUGGUUGUAGCUAACUUCCCCAUCUUUCUCUGGCUGCCCCUGUGCACUCACAGGAGCCCUAGAAAGCCUAGAGAAAGGGGCCUAAAGCUGUUCCAGUGACAGCAGGAGGAGGGCUAGAGAGUAGUCGACGCAAGGGCAGAGAGCAGGAACCCUCCGCCCAGAGAAGAGGCACUGGGGGACCCUGGACGGGGUGAGGCCAGCUGGAGGCCCCCCUCCGGCUGCCUAGUGACCCACAGAGCACCAACUGACAAGCAGCUGCUGUGAGCUUCUCUGCCCCAGGCUGGCUCUGCAGGAACAAGUGCUAACAGAAACUCACAACGGUCUGGAGAACCGACCUUUGAUUGCUCAAGAGAGCUUGUGACUAACAUCCCAGAGACAGAUUCCAGAGGGAGGAGAAGAAUAAUCCUGAAAUGAAGCUGCCAGUACCUGCUGGAGUCCUGUCUCAGGGAUGACCUAGGAGGACCAGGUCAGCACCCCAGGAAACUCUGGCUCUGAACACACUCUCGAGUACACGCUAUUCCAGGCAUUAAUCCUUCUAGACAAGUCCUGAGAUACCAAGAGAUACCAGAAAUGAAAAUGUGCCCUGCUUAGUGACUGCCUGUUCGUGUUUGGCUUACAGAGGCAUCAUGGGGACUCAAGUGGGACAAGCUGGAAUGCUGGUUUUACCUGGUACACUGUCCGGUCAAUUAGUCAAGGGGCAAGAAAACUUUUCCUGAGCCAGAAAGCAGAGCUUCGAGACUCAGCUUUGUCACCUUGCUGGGUCUCAGUUUCUUCACCUGUAAAUGAUGGGAUGGUACUGGAUGACAUGCCUUCCCCACUUCUCCGACCGGCAGUCAAUCACUAAGAACUGACAAUUACGCCUCCUGAUUGUAUUCAAAGCCAGACACCUUCUCUCCACCACACUGCAUGGCCUCCAUUCAGCCCCAUCAUUUCCCACCUGCAUCGCUGCAUCUCCUAACCGGUCUCACUACCUUCACUCUCCUCCCCUCUUCAUGCUGGGCCAGUUGUUUUUCUGAAAUUCAAUUCUUGAAUGUUUGACCCUCUAAGAGGCCCUGCCCAACUUUAUCGGCCAUAAGGCUCUACGGUGGGGUCUCUGUCUGCCCUGCAGCCUUAUUUUCUCCCCCAGCGCUCUCCCCUGCUUCACAUCCUCACGCACUCCAGGCACCCAACGCCGAGAGGUGGACCUCUCCCCCACCCGCGUAUAUGCUGUUGUGCCCUUGGAUGGGCACUCACUCAUAAACCGCCACUGGCCUGCAAUGAAGCAGAAAAUGAUUGAAUCACAGUGAAUAAAUGGGGGUAGAAGAAAAAUUAAGAGUAAGCGCUUGGAAACUUUUAUAACUACCUGACAGCAAUUUUAUGUCUGUUGAAUCUAAUAAUAAAAAUCUGGGCUCCUAUUUCAUGUCUUUUUAAAAUUUUAUUUUUCUAGUAAUUGACUUUUAUUACGUUUUAUAAAAAUAUCAGUCCUAAAUGGGUUGAAAAGGGAAAAAACACAACAACACUGGUUUACUACCACAGACAGUAUGGGGAGCUCUGGCCAGCAGCACCCUUCUACCUUCCGUUCUCCUGGGCAGAUGACUUCAUCCCCGCCGAAGGCUCUCUGUCUCGGGAGUCUUCUGCAUCCCUUCCUAGACAAGCUUGGUGCCUCUCCUCCAUGCUCCAGUGGUAUUUGGUGCAUACUUCUAAUUAUAGCAUUUAUUGCGCCGACUGUAAUUGUUGGUUUCCCUGCAGGUCCUUCCCAUGCUUAUUUCUGCUAACCUCAGAACAAGGUGCCUGGCCCAGGGCUGAGUGAGCAAUUAAGUGUUGACUGAAAUGAACAAGCCCUAAGUUUCUCACCCUAUACUCUGGUUGCCUUUCCUUUACCCAUAUAUUCCUUGUGUGUAAAAUCCUUCCUGCCUGUGUUCUCUCCCUCUGAUGCCUACUCCGUGUUCUCUACAUUAUGGAAGCUGAGGAGAUGAGGAAGAAAUGAGGAGAACUGUUUUCUGCACGUGGGGGUGAAUUUCUGACACCACCCGUCGGGUUGUCCCCUCUCUAGCUCUCAGUCUAGUCCUAGAGUUCAUAUAAGGAAGCUGGGCUUGUAGCUACAACAACUGGUGACUAAUGUGUGUGCCUGGUGAUUAAGCAUCCUUACAACAGCACAGUAU